rnacentral:rRNA from 1 species
AUAGUUUGAUCCUGGCUCAGGACGAACGCUGGCGGCGUGCCUAAUACAUGCAAGUCGAGCGAACCGAUGAAGAGCUUGCUCUUCAAUGGUGAGCGGCGGACGGGUGAGUAACACGUGGGCAACCUGCCUGCAAGAUCGGGAUAACUCCGGGAAACCGGGGCUAAUACCGGAUAAUGCAUUUCGCUGCAUGGCGGAAUGCUAAAAGGCGGCUUCGGCUGUCACUUGCAGAUGGGCCCGCGGCGCAUUAGCUAGUUGGGGAGGUAACGGCUCCCCAAGGCGACGAUGCGUAGCCGACCUGAGAGGGUGAUCGGCCACACUGGGACUGAGACACGGCCCAGACUCCUACGGGAGGCAGCAGUAGGGAAUCUUCCGCAAUGGACGAAAGUCUGACGGAGCAACGCCGCGUGAGUGGUGAAGGUCUUCGGAUCGUAAAACUCUGUUGUGAGGGAAGAACAAGUAUUGUUCGAACAGGGCAGUACCUUGACGGUACCUCACCAGAAAGCCCCGGCUAACUACGUGCCAGCAGCCGCGGUAAUACGUAGGGGGCAAGCGUUGUCCGGAAUUAUUGGGCGUAAAGCGCGCGCAGGCGGUCUUUUAAGUCUGAUGUGAAAUCUUGCGGCUUAACCGCAAGCGGUCAUUGGAAACUGGAGGACUUGAGUGCAGAAGAGGAGAGUGGAAUUCCACGUGUAGCGGUGAAAUGCGUAGAGAUGUGGAGGAACACCAGUGGCGAAGGCGACUCUCUGGUCUGUAACUGACGCUGAGGCGCGAAAGCGUGGGUAGCGAGCAGGAUUAGAUACCCUGGUAGUCCACGCCGUAAACGAUGAGUGCUAGGUGUUAGGGGGGUUUCCGCCCCUUAGUGCUGAAGUUAACGCAUUAAGCACUCCGCCUGGGGAGUACGGCCGCAAGGCUGAAACUCAAAAGAAUUGACGGGGGCCCGCACAAGCGGUGGAGCAUGUGGUUUAAUUCGAAGCAAAGCGAAGAACCUUACCAGGUCUUGACAUCCUCUGAUGGCGGUAGAGAUACCGUGUUCCCUUCGGGGACAGAGUGACAGGUGGUGCAUGGUUGUCGUCAGCUCGUGUCGUGAGAUGUUGGGUUAAGUCCCGCAACGAGCGCAACCCUUAAUCUUAGUUGCCAGCAUUAAGUUGGGCACUCUAAGGUGACUGCCGGUGACAAACCGGAGGAAGGUGGGGAUGACGUCAAAUCAUCAUGCCCCUUAUGACCUGGGCUACACACGUGCUACAAUGGCCGGUACAACGGGUAGCGAACCCGCGAGGGGGAGCCAAUCCAAAAAACCGGUCUCAGUUCGGAUCGCAGGCUGCAACUCGCCUGCGUGAAGCUGGAAUCGCUAGUAAUCGCGGAUCAGCAUGCCGCGGUGAAUCCGUUCCCGGGCCUUGUACACACCGCCCGUCACACCACGAGAGUCUGCAACACCCGAAGUCGGUGAGGUAACCUUCGGGAACCAGCCGCCGAAGGUGGGGCAGAUGAUUGGGGUGAAGUCGUAACAAGGUAACC